GACGAACGCUGGCGGCGUGCUUAACACAUGCAAGUCGAGCGGUAAGGCCCUUUCGGGGGUACACGAGCGGCGAACGGGUGAGUAACACGUGGGUGACCUGCCCUCAGCUCUGGGAUAAGCCCGGGAAACUGGGUCUAAUACUGGAUAUUACUCUGCGGUGCAUGCCGUGGGGUGGAAAGCCUUGUGCGGCUGGGGAUGGGCCCGCGGCCUAUCAGCUUGUUGGUGGGGUGAUGGCCACCAAGGCGACGACGGGUAGCCGGCCUGAGAGGGCGACCGGCCACACUGGGACUGAGACACGGCCCAGACUCCUACGGGAGGCAGCAGUGGGGAAUCUUGCGCAAUGGGCGAAAGCCUGACGCAGCGACGCCGCGUGAGGGAUGACGGCCUGG
rnacentral:rRNA from 1 species